GGGUAGUUUGACUGGGGCGGUCUCCUCCCAAAGAGUAACGGAGGAGCACGAAGGUGGGCUAAUCACGGUUGGACAUCGUGAGGUUAGUGCAAUGGCAUAAGCCCGCUUAACUGCGAGAAUGACGGUUCGAGCAGGUGCGAAAGCAGGUCAUAGUGAUCCGGUGGUUCUGUAUGGAAGGGCCAUCGCUCAACGGAUAAAAGGUACUCCGGGGAUAACAGGCUGAUACCGCCCAAGAGUUCAUAUCGACGGCGGUGUUUGGCACCUCGAUGUCGGCUCAUCACAUCCUGGGGCUGAAGUCGGUCCCAAGGGUAUGGCUGUUCGCCAUUUAAAGUGGUACGCGAGCUGGGUUUAGAACGUCGUGAGACAGUUCGGUCCCUAUCUGCCGUGGGCGUUGGAAGAUUGAAGGGGGCUGCUCCUAGUACGAGAGGACCGGAGUGGACGAACCUCUGGUGUUCGGGUUGUGUCGCCAGACGCAUUGCCCGGUAGCUAAGUUCGGAAUUGAUAAGCGCUGAAAGCAUCUAAGCGCGAAGCGAGCCCUGAGAUGAGUCUUCCCUGAUACUUUAAGUAUCCUAAAGGGUUGUUCGAGACUAGAACGUUGAUAGGCAGGGUGUGUAAGCGUUGUGAGGCGUUGAGCUAACCUGUACUAAUUGCCCGUGAG
rnacentral:rRNA from 1 species